rnacentral:lncRNA from 10 species
CAGGAAGCACUCCAUGUAAACCUACUGUUUAAUUGGAUAUUGUACUCAAAGGUGCUUCUCUAAAUGAGCCAGUGAAAACCCAAGUGGGCGUUGGAUAAUACUUAACAGAUAGGGUUGCAUAGUUUCAGUGUAACGGUGCCUCUGUGGGUUACAGCACCAUGGUCAAAACUGGAAAAAUAGUUUCUUAGAAACGAAUAAAGGCAAACUAUGGGAAAAUGGUCAUGGAAGGCUCUCUCACUAAGAAGAAGAAAACUCAGAAUGUCUUGUUAUUAGCAACAUAGAUCUCCAACUAAAGGGCUUACUCAUCCCUGCACUUGUGAUGUCUGCAUGGAGAUGUUUCCCAGGAGCACUCUCCACAAACUUCCAGCAUGCCAAUCUCCAUCUCAAAAUUUGCUUCUCUGGGAAUGCAACCUGUGGUGUUGCUCAAUCAAACUGUUCCUGUAGACACAUUACACCCACGUUAGGUGUGUGAUGGACUGAAUUGUGACCCCCACCCCAAAUUCAUGUUGAAACUUUAACACCAAGGAACUCCAAAUGUGACUGUGUUUAGAGAUAGGGUCUUCACAGAAGUAAUUAAGUUAAAAUGAGGUCACAUGGGUGGGCCCUAAUCCAAUAUGACAGGAGUCCUUAUAAGAAGAGGAGAUGAGGACACAGCCACCCACAGAGGGAAGACCACACAGGGAGAAGAUGAAGGUCUACAAGUCAAGGAGAGAGGCUUCAGGAGAAAUCAACCCUGCAGACACCUUAUCUUGGACUUCCAGCCUCCAGAACUGUGAGAGAAUAAAUUUCUGUUGUUUAAGCCCCCACUCUGUGAUACCUUGUCAUGGCAGCCCAAGCAGAUACAAUAGGCGGAUUUAGAGGUUCUUCGUUUUGAUCCUGAUUCUUUCACUUUUAUACUUAAGGAACAACUCAGAAAUCUGAACAGGUUAAAUUCUCUUUUAAGUAUAAUGAAGCAGGAUGGUAAUUCUCACUACAUAGUGUUUUCAUAUUCCCUACAAUAGGUCAGGAUAAUCAUGUUUUUAGAGAGGUGAUAAAGAAUAUGCAUUACCUCUCUUCAUCACAUCUCUCUGUUUACAGCAUUUACUACAAACCUGAGGCAGAUGUAAAUACACGGUGUGGAUAAGUACCUUGGAACUGCAGUGAACUUGCAUUUAGUGGGAAAGAAUGGCAAAAUUUCCUUCCUUCCUUUCUUUCUUCCUUCCUUCCUUCCUUUCCUUCCUUCCUUUCCUUUCCUUUCCUUUCCUUUCCCUUCCUUCCUUCCUUCCUUCCUUCCUUCCUUCCUUCCUUCCUUUCUUUUCUUUCUUUCUCUUUUUUGAGACAAAGUCUUGCUCUAUCACCCAUGCUGGAGUGCAGUAGCGUGAUCUGAGCUCACUGCAACCUUCACCUCCUGGGUUCAAGCAAUUCUCCUGCCUCAGCCUCCGGAGUAGCUGGGAUUACAGGUGCACAUCACCAUGCCCGGCUAAUUUUUGUAUUUUUAGUAGAGACAUGGUUUCGCCAUCUUGCCCAGGCUAGUCUUGAACUCCUGACCUCAGGCGGUCCACCCACCUCGGCCUCCCAAAGUGCUGGUAUUAUAGGCGUGAGCCACCACGCCCAGCCGAUUUGGCUUUUUUUCUUUAGAUAAACUAUAACAUGCCAUGCCUGGCUGCAGGCUUCCUGCCCUAAUGCAAAGGUGAAAAAGCUUUGCAGUUUAAUUUGUUUUGUUUUUUUUUUUUUUUGGUUUUCAUUUUUUUCUGAGCCAGCCCCUUUAUUCUUUAUUGUCUUCAGUGGAGCAAUGGUAAAUGUUUAACUACCAGCUCUUUGAAAAUGAAAUAAAACAGAACCAUCCUGGGAAAAGAAUGCUGCAGGGUGCCAGCCUCUCUGCAGCCAGGGACAGCUCUCCAGGUGUGAGGAGACCUCUCCGCCUUCCUCCUCACACUGAUAUUAGUGCAGUUCCCUCAGGGCUUGCUUUUAUUUGCUGAGGCUUCUUGUAAGGGGUUUACUUUUAAGAGUAUUUAUGAGUUUAGCACAGGCUUCCCCAGUGAAUUUUUCUGUCCAUGCCUUCACUCAUGGUGUCUUCAUUGUCACCUCUGGAACCAGAAAAAUCACAGCUUAAGGAAGUUCAGGUGAGUGACCAAGUCUAGCCCCAUCCAGAUUCCCAAGGCUCAUUCUCCCACCAGGCCUUUCAUUAUGCUCUGUGUCUCUCAUCUUCUCCCUUCAAUGAUUUCUUUUAGCUGCACUGACUUGACUUUUUAUGUGCUAUAAAACUCAGGAAGCUUCUUUUGAGGGCUUAGUACGUGCCAAACACAAUUCUAAGCAACAUGCAUGUUUAAUCAUCACAAACCCUUUGAGGUCGGUACUAUUCUCAUUCUCAUAUUGUAGAUGAAGAAACUGAGGCACAAAGAGGGUUAAUAACUUGUUCAAGGCCCUAUUACUCAAUAGAGGCAAGACUGGGAUUCAAACUAGGCAGUAUGGCUUCUAGUCCGUAUUUUUUUUUCUUUUCUUUUUUUUUUUUUGGAGACAGAGUCUCGCUUUGUCGCCUAGGUUGGAGUGCAGUGGUGCAAUCACAGCUCACUGCAACCUCUGCCUCUGGGGUUCAAGCAAUUCUCAUGCCUCAGCCUUCUGAAUAGCUGUUACUAUAGGUGCGCACCACUACACCCAGCUAAUUUUUCUAUUUUUAGUAGAGAUGGGGUUUCACUCUGUUGGUCAGGCUGCUCUCGAACUCCUGACCUCAACUUAUCUGCCCGCCUUGACCUCCCAAAGUGCUGGGAUUACAGGCAUGAGCCACUGCACCCAGCCCCAGUCCAUAUUUUUAACCAGCAUCCUACCUGAAAAAGAGCAGUAGGAAUAUAUGUAUGCGUAGUGUGAAGUGAUGUGUGUGUGUGAGUGUGUGUAUCUGUGUGUAUGAAAAGUUAAAAUAAAGUUUAAUAAUGGGGGAAAAAAUCACCCAGAAGUCAUGAAAUUAAAGACCUCAAAGGCCCUUUUGACUCAACAUAGAUAAUUCUAAAGCAAAUUAAAAAAUUGAGGUGGUGAAAUUAUAUGGUUUUUAGGUUUAGAAUUCCAAAAGUUGAGAAUCAGCAUGUAUUGGAAAUACCAUAGAACUAAUGUUAAUUGCAGAGUUACAGCUGGAAUGAAAUACUGACUUGCUUCAGGGAAUGUUUUAUCUCCCUGUAUCUCUCUGUUUUUGUCUCAGUUUAGUAAUGUUGGCUGAGUAGGUAUAAAAAAUGAGAAGAGAGACAUUUUUUGUUUCACUAUUCAUAGAGAAAUUGGUAUUUAUAUUGAAUGGAUUGAGAAUUCACAAAUAAAUAUAGUUUGUUCCAGUUUGGAUUACUAAUUUGGUUUGGUGGAAGCCUCUGAAGUAUCCAGUUCUGUGACAGACUUUUGCCAUAGAAUCUAGUACUAGCGAGGAUUGUUAAGAGGUCAUUACCUUGACCUUAAAACAUCACAGUAAGCGGGCUAUUGUCCAAGAUGGACGAAUAGGAACAGCUCCAGUCUGCAGCUCCCAGCAAGAUUGAUGCAGAAGAUGGGUGAUUUCUGCAUUUCCAACUGAGGCACCUGAUUCAUCUCACUGGGACCGGUUGGACAGUGGAUGCAGCCCAUGGAGGAAACAGAGAUUCAAAAGGGUCAGGUCACUGGCUCCAGGUCAACUCUACUACUAAACAGAAAAGCAAGGACCAAAAUUCAGAUCUUUGUGACCCUCAAUGCCACUAUGCCAUGCGAUGAUGCCUGCCUCUUUUAGAGGCCAACUAAUAGGCCAACUUGAUUUUCUUGAGGAAUGGCCGAAUGGAAGUUGAAUGGUUGAAGGUGACUGGCAAACAGAGAAACAAGGCACCAAGAACUGGCUAUUUCCAAACGUGGGCAAUCAGCUUCUGAAUGAAUAGUUCAGAAUGAUGCAGCUCUGGAUGUUGGAAAGGACAAUUCCGGCGUUUUACUCUUCUGACCAGUUUCUUCGUUUUCAUAACUCUACUUGAAGAACAUAUGAUGUUUGCCAGUGUCUGACAUUACGGACCUCACAGCUUACUGAAUCUGAAAACAGGAGAUAGAGAUGGAAAGGAAAGCCUCAGGAACUUGUUGCAAUAGGGACUGCCAGGUCCCGUUGCACUAUUGGUGGAAGAGAGGUCCACACGGUGCCUACGAUAAGCGAUUUGUUCGUAUCUAUCCAGACUGCAGGUGCAUACAGCCACUCAUCCUCAAAUGCCAUCCUCAGGAGUUUAUGCUGCACACAGACUGGCACAUGUGCAGGAAGACAUAGUGCAGGGCUACGUGCUACAACAUUGUUGGUGACAGCAACAUAUUGGAAGCAACCUGAAUUUUUGUUAAUAGAGGAUUGGCUACAUAAAUGAUGCUAAUCUAUACAACUGGAGUACUAUGAUGCCAUAAAAAAGAAUGUACAAGGUCUUUACGUUUGGAAAGAUCUCUAAGAUAUAAUGACCUGAACCUCAGGAGAUCUGGAGUAUGUGCUGAAUUCUACUGGGAACUGAGCCCUCUGAAUAUUAUUAUUGUUUUGCUAAUACUUUUUGCUGGAAAGUACAUCAAACCAGGAUGUGUUGUACCUCUUGCUUUGCCAGACUAUUUAAAAGCAAAAGUGACCAGAUAUCCAACUUAAGGCUGAUCCAGGUUUUUCAUGAUCUAGCCAGGGGAGACAAACCUUCCAGGAAAGUCUCUAGCGAAGGCCAAGGAUUUUAGAAAGUAUCUGUGAACAAAGAAAUGCAAUGUUAGUGGGCUAAUUUCCAUAAUCAAAUGAAGCUGAUGCAAGUGCUUUGUGAAUUGAUGCCCAUCAACGAGAGACUGGAUAAAGAAAAUGUGGCACAUAUACGCCAUGGAAUACUAUGUAGCCGUAAAAAUGAACAAGUUCAUGUCCUUUACAGGGACAUGGAUGAAGCUGGAAAUCAUCAUCCUCAGCCAAUUAACCCAGGAACAGAAAACCAAACACCACAUGUUCUCACUCAUAAGUGGGAGCUGAACAAUAAGAACACGUGAACACAGGGAGGGAAACAUCACAUAGCAGGGCCUGUUGGUGGGCCGGGGGCAAGGGAAGGGAGAGCAUUAGGACAAAUAUCUAAUGCAUGCGGGGCUUAAAACCUAGAUGACGGGUUGAUAGGUGCAGCAAACCACCAUGGCACACGUAUACCUGUGUAACAAACCUGCACAUUCUGCACAUGUAUCCCAGAACUUAAAAAAAAAAAGAAAUGCUUUGUGAAUUAGUCAGGUUCACUGAUGGGAGCUUUGGUCCUGGCACCUGAGGACUGAGCUGGGGGAACCCACACCCAGGCUGCCCAAACACACAGAGGCAGGAGAGGUCAAGGGGCAUCUCGUGGGUGUGGAGUUUUGGACACGGUAUUGCCAUUGUCAGACAUGUGGCUAAGCCUGCAAGGAUGAGAGAGGAAGGAGGAAACCAGCUCCUCUCAACCCUGCAUCAGCCUGAGUGCUUUCAAUCUCUCUCAACCCUUCUCCUCUCUUUUCUCUUUUCUCCUUCCCUCCUUCCCUGAUGGUUUGCCAGGAAGCACAGAAUAAUGGAGUUCAGUGUUACUCAAGGGGCAGUCACCUGCACAGUCAUUACCGGAAUGACGUGUUUCAUCAGAUGUUUCAAAUCCCGAUUCUUGGGGCCUGCUCUAAACCUGCCUACCAAGGCUCUAGGGGCGAGGCCUGGGGACCUGCAUUGUUUGCAAACACCCACAGGUGAUUCUUACAUGCACGAAGCCAGGGAAGCAUUGAUAGAAAAGGUCUUAGACCAGCAGCCAAAAAACCCAAGUUCAAAUCCAUUUACUACCUGGGUGGUCUUGGGCAAGUUACUUAUUAAUUCCCGGCAUGGGAGUCAAUACUACUUUAUAGGAAUUUUUUAUAAGUUAUAGGAGAUACGCUGUUAUGUUAUAGGAGUUAUUUUUUUCUCUUUGAAGAUUAAAAGAGACAAAACAUAUGACAAGGCUGGCAAACAUUGAGCUCUUGCUACAUAGUAGUACACAGUGCCCUAGAGAGUUAGCAAAGGGACGGUGAGCUCACAAAAAUCUUUGUAGGCCUCAGGAUAUAUAUAUUUUGCAGUGACUUUCAAGGCUGAUCUAACUCUCUUUGGAUGAACACAGAGCAAGGAGACUUGCCCACUGAGUGACUUUACUAUACCCCCAGGCCUUACUAACUUGCCCAGGAGUGGGGAAUAUAGUGCUAGAAGGAAGCCAAAGCAAUAAAGAGACACUUUCAGAAAAGCAGGCACUGCAAAGACAACCAUUCCAGCUGGAAGAGCAUGUGGUGGGAGUGGCGUCCUCUCAGACAUGAUCCUCUGCAGGGCUCAUGGGCUCAAAGUCACAGGUUCUCACCAAGGGUGAUGAUUUCCCACAGGGAGCAUCUAGCAACGUCUGGAGACAUUUUUGUCACAGGGUAGGGAAAGGGGGUUGCUACUAGCAUGCAGUGAACAGAGGCCAGAGAGGCUGCUAAACAUCCUACGGUACACUGGACAGUCUUCCACAACAGAAAACUGUCUGGCCCCAAAUGUUCAUGGUUUCAAGGCUGAAAAACACUGCUCUAAGCUAAUGCAGAAGACUUAGUCAUGGGUGAUAGAAGGAGGCCCCUAGGUGGCUACAAACCUCUGAGGGACAGCCUUCCGCUGUGGUGUUGCAAAGUCUCCCAGUUGCACAAGGUCCUGGCGUCCUGCUCAUUGGUGGAUCACCAUUAACCACCUUGCACGUCACAUGUUCAACAUAGCUAGUUUCCCACCCAUUCUUAACGAUGAUAAAUCAGGAAAAGCAUUCUUAGAACACUAGAAAAGCAGAAGUGUGGCUCUCUACAGGGCAGCGGGGAGGUUGCCUCACUCCUAGAAGAUGUCUUGUUUUUACCAAGAGGGUAGAGGGAUGAGAGGAGCUGGAAGACCACGCUGAGGAGCCACGUCCAGACACAUGAAACGAACCUCACAGCCCCACAAGGAUGCCGGGGAGGGCACUCAGUGCUUGGGAUCAGAGCCACGUGGCCACUGGUUUCCGAUGCCCCUUUGCUAGUAUCUGGCUUCCGUGAUUCCCUUGCCUUCAUUUUGUGGCUCUCUCCUGACACUGCCGGCUGAGUGUCUUAGUUAACCAGUAAUCUGGCUUUUCUCCCUCCACUUUGAUCUUCCUGUCUCUGCCUGUCUCCUCUUUCCUGGCAUGGCAUGUGCUCUCGGGCUGUACCUCUGGUAGUGAAUCUCUGGCUGCCCUGGACUCCUGCUGUGCACACUGCCCUGUGUGCAGGUCUGGAUGCCUGGUGUUCCUUCUCAGUGCACCGCCCGAUCCCCUGGGAUCUCUUCACCAUUUUCAUGCAUGGUGCCACCCCACGUGCAGGGCCAGCUUCAUGGCACGUCACCUGUGUGCUUGCAUAGGACUUGGUGCUCAGAAGGACUUCUUGAUGGGUUUCAUGCUCUGCGGCCACCGUAUUAAAAUUGUAAUAAUUUCCUCUUGAAACUUGUAUUUUGUAAGUGACUUCUGAUGAGACAGCAUGGAAUGAGCAGAAACACAGGAGAUACGUGUGCCUGUCCUUUCUUGUCACCCUAUUCACAUGGAGCAUUCGCCAUGAACUCAGAAUUCUGGUGUAUUCACAAUGUGUGGGAGUUCAUGAAGCUUCUAAGUGACUCCCAAGUGUGUUUUGUCUAUGAUGAGUUAGCUGGGGAGGGGGAGGGACACUGACAGCCCUGAGAGGCCACACUUUCCAUUUGAAAACCAAAACUUGCUUCAAACACAAAGGCAGCAGUGGUAUUCUAAGAAACACAUAUGACCAAGGAAACUUGGUUUGACCUUUCUUACUCAUGUUACUUCUUUGCAUUUGCAAACAACUUAAACUGAAAAUGAAGACACAGAAAGAAAUAGAAAGAUAAGGCAACCCAUAGGCCUUUUUUAAAUUCUUCCUUACUUGUCAGUAAGCCAAAGGUAGAGAGCAUUGAUAGAACGUGCAUGUAUCAGGCCGGGCACGGUGGAUUACGCCUGUAAUCCCAGCACUUUGGGAGGCCGAGGUGGUGGAUCACCUGAGGUCAGGAGUUUGAGACUAGCCUGGCCAACAUGGCAAAACCCUGUCUCUACUAAAAAUACAAAAAUUAGCAGGGUGUGGUGCCGGGUGCCUGUAAUCCCAGCUACUCGGGAGGCUGAAGCAUGAGAAUCAUUUGAACCCAGGAGGCAGAGGUUGCAGUGAACUGAGAUCAUGCCACUGCACUCCAGCCUGGGUGACAGAGAGGGACUCUGUCUCAAAAAAAAAAAAAAAGAAUGUGCAUUAUUGAGAAGCGAAAUAAAAGCAUUGAAUUAGUUUUGUGCAGCAUUUUCCACUGUUCUGGUAAGAAUGAAAUAUGCAAAUUGCAUCAUUUGGAACAAUUUAGCAUACAAAUUAAAUGCUCUUAUAUUUUCGUUUAAAGCUGGCUUUGCACAAUAUAAAGAUGAAUGGUAAGAUUCAUGCUAACAAUUUAAAAUUUUAAUUUUCCUUUACUUAGAGUGGCAUUAAAUAGCGAAUAAGAAUGAUUUUAAAAGCCUUGUGACAAGUCAAAAGAGAGACUGCAGAAGAAAAAAAGCGGCUUUUAUUUUAGUACCUUUCACAGCAGAGGUUGUUUUUGUUCCUGCUUUUGAAAAAGGGCUCCUACAUUUUCGGUUUGCACUGGCAAACCUUUUAAUGAAACAGUAAAGCAAAGUUCCUUACAUUAAAAAGGAGUCAUUUUUAAUCUCCCAGUCUACAUAGACCCAAUUUUCAUUUUAACAAGUUUC